rnacentral:rRNA from 1 species
ACUCCUACGGGAGGCAGCAGUAGGGAAUCUUCCACAAUGGGCGCAAGCCUGAUGGAGCAACACCGCGUGAGUGAAGAAGGGUUUCGGCUCGUAAAGCUCUGUUGUUAAAGAAGAACACGUAUGAGAGUAACUGUUCAUACGUUGACGGUAUUUAACCAGAAAGUCACGGCUAACUACGUGCCAGCAGCCGCGGUAAUACGUAGGUGGCAAGCGUUAUCCGGAUUUAUUGGGCGUAAAGAGAGUGCAGGCAGUUUUCUAAGUCUGAUGUGAAAGCCUUCGGCUUAACCGGAGAAGUGCAUCGGAAACUGGAUAACUUGAGUGCAGAAGAGGGUAGUGGAACUCCAUGUGUAGCGGUGGAAUGCGUAGAUAUAUGGAAGAACACCAGUGGCGAAGGCGGCUACCUGGUCUGCAACUGACGCUGAGACUCGAAAGCAUGGGUAGCGAACAGGAUUA